rnacentral:rRNA from 1 species
GACGAACGCUGGCGGCGUGCUUAACACAUGCAAGUCGAACGGAAAGGCCCUGCUUUUGUGGGGUGCUCGAGUGGCGAACGGGUGAGUAACACGUGAGUAACCUGCCCUUGACUUUGGGAUAACUUCAGGAAACUGGGGCUAAUACCGGAUAGGAGCUCCUGCUGCAUGGUGGGGGUUGGAAAGUUUCGGCGGUUGGGGAUGGACUCGCGGCUUAUCAGCUUGUUGGUGGGGUAGUGGCUUACCAAGGCUUUGACGGGUAGCCGGCCUGAGAGGGUGACCGGCCACAUUGGGACUGAGACACGGCCCAGACUCCUACGGGAGGCAGCAGUGGGGAAUAUUGCGCAAUGGGCGGAAGCCUGAUGCAGCAACGCCGCGUGCGGGAUGACGGCCUUCGGGUUGUAAACCGCUUUCGCCUGUGACGAAGCGUGAGUGACGGUAAUGGGUAAAGAAGCACCGGCUAACUACGUGCCAGCAGCCGCGGUGAUACGUAGGGUGCGAGCGUUGUCCGGAUUUAUUGGGCGUAAAGGGCUCGUAGGUGGUUGAUCGCGUCGGAAGUGUAAUCUUGGGGCUUAACCCUGAGCGUGCUUUCGAUACGGGUUGACUUGAGGAAGGUAGGGGAGAAUGGAAUUCCUGGUGGAGCGGUGGAAUGCGCAGAUAUCAGGAGGAACACCAGUGGCGAAGGCGGUUCUCUGGGCCUUUCCUGACGCUGAGGAGCGAAAGCGUGGGGAGCGAACAGGCUUAGAUACCCUGGUAGUCCACGCUGUAAACGGUGGGUACUAGGUGUGGGGUCCAUUCCACGGGUUCCGUGCCGUAGCUAACGCUUUAAGUACCCCGCCUGGGGAGUACGGCCGCAAGGCUAAAACUCAAAGGAAUUGACGGGGCCCCGCACAAGCGGCGGAGCAUGCGGAUUAAUUCGAUGCAACGCGUAGAACCUUACCUGGGUUUGACAUGGAUCGGGAGUGCUCAGAGAUGGGUGUGCCUCUUUUGGGGUCGGUUCACAGGUGGUGCAUGGCUGUCGUCAGCUCGUGUCGUGAGAUGUUGGGUUAAGUCCCGCAACGAGCGCAACCCUUGUUCACUGUUGCCAGCACGUUAUGGUGGGGACUCAGUGGAGACCGCCGGGGUCAACUCGGAGGAAGGUGGGGAUGACGUCAAGUCAUCAUGCCCCUUAUGUCCAGGGCUUCACGCAUGCUACAAUGGCUGGUACAGAGAGUGGCGAGCCUGUGAGGGUGAGCGAAUCUCGGAAAGCCGGUCUCAGUUCGGAUUGGGGUCUGCAACUCGACCUCAUGAAGUCGGAGUCGCUAGUAAUCGCAGAUCAGCAACGCUGCGGUGAAUACGUUCCCGGGGCU